GACGAACGCUGGCGGCGUGCCUAACACAUGCAAGUCGAGCGAUGAAGCCCCUUCGGGAGUGGAUUAGCGGCGGACGGGUGAGUAACACGUGGGUAACCUGCCUCAUAGAGAGGGAUAGCCUUCCGAAAGGAAGAUUAAUACCUCAUAAGAUUGUAGUUUCGCAUGAAACGGCAAUAAAAGGAGCAAUCCGCUAUGAGAUGGACCCGCGUCGCAUUAGCUAGUUGGUAAGGUAAUGGCUUACCAAGGCGACGAUGCGUAGCAGACCUGUAGGGGUGAUCGGCAACAUUGGGACUGAGACACGGCCCAGACUCCUACGGGAGGCAGCAGUGGGGAAUAUUGCACAAUGGGGGAAACCCUGAUGCAGCAACGCCGCGUGAGUGAUGACGGUCUUCGGAUUGUAAAACUCUGUCUUUGGGGACGAUAAUGACGGUACCCAAGGAGGAAGCCACGGCUAACUACGUGCCAGCAGCCGCCGUAACAC
rnacentral:rRNA from 1 species